rnacentral:misc_RNA from 1 species
AAGUCGUAACAAGGUUUCCGUAGGUGAACCUGCGGAAGGAUCAUUAUCACGUUAUCCACGUACCCACCCUUCGUGCAUUGAAAAUCUCCCUAAAGAUUUAUAAGUUAUUUAAUUUAUAUAUUUUUAGGCUACAUAUAUAUUUUAUUAUAUACAAACAUAUUUCACAGUUGAACAACUUCUAUGAAUAUUGCAAGUUGACUUACACAAUUGUAUAGAAUUAUUUUAUAAUUCUAUAUAUAUUUUCUUAUUUUAAUCGAUAGGAAUAUCAGUGAAAGAACAACUCUUAGCAAUGGAUAUCUUGGCUCUC